UACGAGGGGUCCUAGCGUUGUUCGGAAUCAUUGGGCGUAAAGGGUGUGUAGGUGGCGAUGUAAGUCAGGUGUGAAAGCCCCGGGCUCAACCCGGGAAGUGCAUCUGAUACUGCGUAGCUUGAGUACCGAAGAGGAUAGUGGAAUUCCAGGUGUAGUGGUGAAAUACGUAGAUAUCUGGAGGAACACCGGUGGCGAAGGCGACUACCUGGCCUGUUCUUGACGCUGAGGCGCGAAAGCUAGGGGAGCAAACGGG
rnacentral:rRNA from 1 species